rnacentral:lncRNA from 10 species
UGUUGGCCGGGCUGGUCUCGAACUCCUGGCCUCAGGUGAUCUGCCUGCUUUGACCUCCCAAAAUGCUGGAAUUACAGGCAUGAGCCACCAUGCUCGGCCUUUUUAAAGAUUUUUAAUUUUUUUUUUUUUUUUUGAGACAGAGUUUUGCUCUUGUUGCCUGAGCUGGAGUGCAAUGGCACGAUCUCAGCUCAAUGCAACCUCCGCCUCCCGGGUUCAGGCAAUUCUCCUUCCUCAGCCUCCCAAGUAGCUGGGAGUACAGGCAUGCGCCACCAUGCCCAGCUAAUUUUGUAUUUUUUUUGUUAGAGAUGGGAAAAUUUUUUAUUUAAUUUUUUAUUUUAUUUUUUAAGAUACAAUUUUACUCUGUCAUUCCGACUGGAGUGCAGUGGCACAAUCCCGGCUCACUGCAACCUCCGCCUCCUGGGUUCAAGCGAUUCUCCUGCCUCAGCCUCCGGAGCAGCUGGGACCAGAAACGCACACCACCAUGCCCAGAUAAUUUUUGUUUUUUUGGUAGAGACAGGGUUUUGCCAUGAUGGUCAGGCAGAUCUUGAACUCCUGUGAAGGUAGAUACAUCCACAGGCCAUGCCAGUGCUUGUUGUCCAAAACAUGACUCAUGAGCUUGGGAGGGCCAAUGCCACUUCACUCAGCGAUCUCGGCUCACUGCAACCUCUGCCACCUGAGUUCAUGCAAUUCUCCUGCUUCAGCCUCCCAAGUAGCUGGGAUUACAGGCAUGUGCCCACCAUGCCCAGCUAAUUUUGUAUUUUUAGUAGAGAUGG